ensembl:lncRNA
GAGCCUCAUGAGUUCAACUGUUUACUCCAACUUAUCCCAACGGACACACGUCACCGGAAACACGUCAUCCGUUACAUUAAAAUACAGGCAUGCUAUCAAAAUACGGCCAUGCCGUAAACACUGCCAUGGAUACAUAACAUUUUCCCCCCUCUCCAGGGGAGAUCCAACCCACAUCCCUGAAUGAGAUAUAACACGAAUAUUAUAGUAUAUAAUAACAAUAAUAGAGUAAUUAUAGUAGAUAAUCAGAAUACAUUGUUAAUGACUUCAGUCCGGCCGGCGCGUCAUCAGCGCGUCAUCAAUCCGGCAGUCGCCAUGUUGGAGGUACUCGGCAAGGUAAAUAAACCGCACGCCAAGGUAAAUAAAGCGUACGCCGCAGUAGAUCCCGAAUAUCUUCGUGGAAAAUGGUAAAUUAUUGCCGUGUUUUUGGCUGUACCAAUCGGUCAGACCGCGAAAAACAUUUGGAGUAUUACAGACUGCCAAAAGUUAUAACUAAUCAAGGAGAACAAUGCCAAAAGUUGUCAGAGGAAAGGAGGCGCUUGUGGUUAGCGAAGCUGAACCAGGAUCUACGUGGCAAAAAUCUGGACAACGUCCGAAUUUGUUCGGCCCAUUUCUUGUCAGGUAAAAGGUCUGACCUUUAUCAAAAGGAUGACCCAGAUUGGGUGCCAUCUGUCGGAAUGACAGGUCAGCAAAGGUCUCCUGAAAAAGCUGGGACAUCAUCACGCUACAGCCGUCGUGGGAAUAGAACCCAGCAGAGACUGAGAGAAGCUGCUGCUGAUGCUGCUGGAGUUGCCUCAGAGACUGAUGAUUCUGAGACUGAUGACCCAGCUUUGUUCACCUGUCUGUUGUGCUCUGGUGAACCUUUGCCCAUCCAUUGUUGAUUUUGACUGAAGAAUAUUUUUAUAUGCACUUUGUCAAUAAAAAGACUAUAUAGCCUAAAAUUAUUUAUAAAUGGUUGUUAAUUUACAGUUUUUGUUAAUGUAUUGUUGUGGAAGAGAACACAUCAUAACACUAUCAUCAGAACACAGAUUUAUUAAAGGAAAACCAC